GGUUAAGCGACUAAGCGUACACGGUGGAUGCCCUGGCAGUCAGAGGCGAUGAAGGACGUGCUAAUCUGCGAUAAGCGCCGGUAAGGUGAUAUGAACCGUUAUAACCGGCGAUUUCCGAAUGGGGAAACCCAGUGUGACUCGUCACACUAUCAUUAACUGAAUCCAUAGGUUAAUGAGGCGAACCGGGGGAACUGAAACAUCUAAGUACCCCGAGGAAAAGAAAUCAACCGAGAUUCCACCAGUAGCGGCGAGCGAACGGGGAGGAGCCCAGAGCCUGAAUCAGCAUGUGUGUUAGUGGAAGCGUCUGGAAAGGCGCGCGAUACAGGGUGACAGCCCCGUACACAAAAGCGCAUGUGUUGUGAGCUCGAUGAGUAGGGCGGGACACGUGGUAUCCUGUCUGAAUAUGGGGGGACCAUCCUCCAAGGCUAAAUACUCCUGACUGACCGAUAGUGAACCAGUACCGUGAGGGAAAGGCGAAAAGAACCCCGGCGAGGGGAGUGAAAAAGAACCUGAAACCGUGUACGUACAAGCAGUGGGAGCCCCACCACUAAGCCAGUGGUGAACUCCACAUACGCAUCCUUUGCUGAAGGUGCGGUUAACGGAGCGCAAGCGACGUUCAACCUCAAAAGAAGCAGAGGGGGCUUAGUGGUGGGGUGACUGCGUACCUUUUGUAUAAUGGGUCAGCGACUUAUAUUCUGUAGCAAGGUUAACCG
rnacentral:rRNA from 1 species